GCUCAUUAAAUCAGUUAUCGUUUAUUUGAUAGUACCUUUCCUACUUGGAUAACCGUGGUAAUUCUAGAGCUAAUACAUGCUAAAAAUCCCGACUUCGGAAGGGAUGCAUUUAUCAGAUACAGAACCAAUGCCCUCCGGGGCUUCCUGGUGAAUCAUGAUAACUCCGCGGAUCGCACGGCCUUGCGCUGGCGAUGGUUCAUUCAAAUUUCUGCCCUAUCAACUUUCGACGGCUGGGUCUUGGCCAGCCGUGGUGACAACGGGUAACGGAGGGUUAGGGCUCGACCCCGGAGAAGGAGCCUGAGAGACGGCUACUACAUCCAAGGAAGGCAGCAGGCGCGCAAAUUACCCAAUCCCGACACGGGGAGGUAGUGACAAUAAAUACUGAUCCAGGGCUCUUUUGGGUCUUGGAAUUGGAAUGAGUACAAUUUAAAUCCCUUAACGAGGAACAAUUGGAGGGCAAGUCUGGUGCCAGCAGCCGCGGUAAUUCCAGCUCCAAUAGCGUAUAUUAAAGUUGUUGAGGUUAAAAAGCUCGUAGUUGAACCUUGGGCCUGGCUGGCCGGUCCGCCUCACCGCGUGCACUGGUCCGGCCGGGCCUUUCCCUCUGGGGAACCUCAUGCCCUUCACUGGGUGUGCUGGGGAACCAGGACUUUUACUCUGAACAAAUCAGAUCGCUCAAAGAAGGCUCUCGCUCGAAUGCAUUAGCAUGGAAUAAUGGAAUAGGACGCGCGGUCCUAUUUUGUUGGUUUCUAGGACCGCCGUAAUGAUUAAUAGGGACAGUCGGGGGCAUCCGUAUUCAGUUGUCAGAGGUGAAAUUCUUGGAUCUACUGAAGACGAACUACUGCGAAAGCAUUUGCCAAGGAUGUUUUCAUUAAUCAGGAACGAAAGUUAGGGGAUCGAAGACGAUCAGAUACCGUCGUAGUCUUAACCAUAAACUAUGCCGAUUAGGGAUCGGACGAUGCUAUUUUUUGGCUCGUUCGGCACCUUACGACAAAUCAAAAUG
rnacentral:rRNA from 1 species